GGAGGGGCGGGUCUGAUGCCGCUGUGCCCCGCCUCCCCACCGGACGAGUCCAUUCCGCGGACGCACGGGGAGGUAGACAGAGAGCCGAGCAGAGGCCCGAGCACUGGGCCGCUCCCGUCCGCCCCUCAGCGAGGCCGCUCCCCAGGUCAGAAGGAACCGCCCACGCCUCUCCGCUCCCACGGUCCCCCCUCCGGACUCCUUGUACCCUCCCGUUCCCUUGGCAACGGCCAGUGACCUCACCCGGGUGGUAAGCCGAGCCCAGAGUGAAAGCACCGCUGUUGCUAUGGAGACCUAGGGGGUCGCCCAGGAAUUCCGGCCCCAACGGGGAUGGGUAAGACAGCUGGUUUUUGAAGGGGCCUUUGUAGCAAACUGGGAAAAGUGCAUGUCAGCCAGGCUGAUUCCACACUCAUCAGUGAUCUCCGAGAGGUCUUCAUCCUCAAACUCCUCCAGGCUGAUGUCGUGGGUGAGCCUGGUGAGGACAGAAACCAAGUUACAACCCAGGGGGCCCAAGCUGGCGUCUCUCUCUUCCCAGGGAAGACUCUGGAAGGCAGGUGACAGCUCCCAGAUGGAGGAUUCAGUCUGUUUAUACCAGUGGCAGGAGAAGGAUUUGGGGUUGGAGCCAAAAGGCAUUCCACCUAGGGUGGCGGAGGAGGCAGCUCUAGGUUCCUCCAGCAUCACCGGCUGGGAGUUUUCCAUCCUGCUGCCAACCAGAAGGCUGUCCUAGAAGGCCCAACUGUCCAGAGACUCAGCUCUGCUGGAGAAAUGCCUCCAUGGCCCAGGCAAGUGCCAAGGCCAGUUCAACCCUAAGAGGUACCCAGAGCAGGGAAACCUUUGCUCUCCACAGUAACAAGACCCAAAGGGGUACCAGAAGGCACCCACAAAAACACACACCACUGAGCCAGGGUAUAGUGGGGAGGGCCUGGGACCAGCCUAUUCUAAAAAACUAUGACUUCCUGUUA